rnacentral:rRNA from 1 species
GAUGAACGCUAGCGGCAGGCCUAACACAUGCAAGUCGAACGGCAGCACGGGAGCAAUCCUGGUGGCGAGUGGCGAACGGGUGAGUAAUAUAUCGGAACGUGCCCAGUAGUGGGGGAUAGCCCGGCGAAAGCCGGAUUAAUACCGCAUACGACCUGAGGGUGAAAGCGGGGGAUCGCAAGACCUCGCGCUAUUGGAGCGGCCGAUAUCAGAUUAGCUAGUUGGUGGGGUAAAGGCCUACCAAGGCUACGAUCUGUAGUUGGUCUGAGAGGACGACCAGCCACACUGGGACUGAGACACGGCCCAGACUCCUACGGGAGGCAGCAGUGGGGAAUUUUGGACAAUGGGCGCAAGCCUGAUCCAGCAAUGCCGCGUGCAGGAAGAAGGCCUUCGGGUUGUAAACUGCUUUUGUCAGGGAAGAAAUCUUCUGGGCUAAUACCCCGGGAGGAUGACGGUACCUGAAGAAUAAGCACCGGCUAACUACGUG